CCUACGGGAGGCAGCAGUGAGGAAUAUUGCCCAAUGGACGCAAGUCUGAGGCAGCAACGCCGCGUGAGCGAUGAAGGCCUUCGGGUUGUAAAGCUAUUUUCUGGGGGACGAGAGAGGACGGUACCUCAGGAAUAAGUCACGGCUAACUACGUGCCAGCAGCCGCGGUAAU
rnacentral:rRNA from 1 species